rnacentral:rRNA from 1 species
GUGGAACUCCAUGUGUAGCGGUGAAAUGCGUAGAUAUGUGGAAGAACACCAGUGGCGAAAGCGGCUUGCUAGAUCGUAACUGACGUUGAGGCUCGAAAGUAUGGGUAGCAAACGGGAUUAGAUACCCCGGUAGUCCAUACCGUAAACGAUGGGUGCUAGUUGUUAAGAGGUUUCCGCCUCCUAGUGACGUAGCAAACGCAUUAAGCACCCCGCCUGAGGAGUACGGCCGCAAGGCUAAAACUUAAAGGAAUUGACGGGGACCCGCACAAGCGGUGGAGCAUGUGGUUUAAUUCGAAGAUACGCGAAAAACCUUACCAGGUCUUGACAUACCAAUGAUCGCUUUUGUAAUGAAAGCUUUUCUUCGGAACAUUGGAUACAGGUGGUGCAUGGUCGUCGUCAGCUCGUGUCGUGAGAUGUUGGGUUAAGUCCCGCAACGAGCGCAACCCUUGUUAUUAGUUGCCAGCAUUUAGUUGGGCACUCUAAUGAGACUGCCGGUGAUAAACCGGAGGAAGGUGGGGACGACGUCAGAUCAUCAUGCCCCUUAUGACCUGGGCAACACACGUGCUACAAUGGGAAGUACAACGAGUCGCAAACCGGCGACGGCAAGCUAAUCUCUUAAAACUUCUCUCAGUUCGGACUGGAGUCUGCAACUCGACUCCACGAAGGCGGAAUCGCUAGUAAUCGCGAAUCAGCAUGUCGCGGUGAAUACGUUCCCGGGUCUUGUACACACCGCCCGUCAAAUCAUGGGAGUCGGAAGUACCCAAAGUCGCUUGGCUAACUUUUAGAGGCCGGUGCCUAAGGUAAAAUCGAUGACUGGGAUUAAGUCGUAACAAGGUAGCCGUAGGAGAACCUGCGGCUGGAUCACCUCCUUUCUAAGGA